GUGCUGGCUUCGGCAGCAUAUAUACUAAAAUUGGAACCAUACACAGAAGAUUAGCAUGGCCCCUGCACAAGGAUGACACACACAUUCAUGGUAAUGCGUUCCAUAUUUUU